rnacentral:rRNA from 1 species
AGAGUUUGAUCAUGGCUCAGGACGAACGCUGGCGGCGUGCUUAACACAUGCAAGUCGAACGGGGGAUUAAUUUCUGAAGUUUUCGGAUAGAAGGGAUUAAUUUUCAGUGGCGGACGGGUGAGUAACGCGUGAGCAACCUGUCCUGCAGAGGGGGACAACAACGGGAAACUGUUGCUAAUACCGCAUGAGACCACGCUCUCGCAUGGGAGCGAGGUAAAAGGAGGAAUCCGCUGCAGGAGGGGCUCGCGUCCCAUUAGAUAGUUGGUGAGGUAAAGGCCCACCAAGUCAGCGAUGGGUAGCCGGACUGAGAGGUUGAACGGCCACACUGGGACUGAGACACGGCCCAGACUCCUACGGGAGGCAGCAGUGGGGAAUAUUGGGCAAUGGGCGCAAGCCUGACCCAGCAACGCCGCGUGAAGGGAAGAAGGUUUUCGGAUUGUAAACUUCUGUCAUUGGGGACGAANAGAAUGACGGUACCCGAUGAGGAAGCCCCGGCUAACUACGUGCCAGCAGCCGCGGUAAUACGUAGGGGGGCGAGCGUUGUCCGGAAUUACUGGGGCGUAAAGGGUGCGUAAGCGGCGAUGCAAGUUCAUUGUGAAAACCCGGCUUAACCUGGGAAGGGGCAGUGGAAACUGCAUGGCUUGGAUGCAGGACAGGAAAGUGGAAUCCC